GAUGAACGCUGGCGGCGUGCCUAAUACAUGCAAGUCGAGCGAACAGACGAGGAGCUUGCUCCUUUGACGUUAGCGGCGGACGGGUGAGUAACACGUAUGUAACCUACCUAUAAGACUGGGAACACUUCGGGAAACCGGCGCUAAUACCGGAUAAUAUUUCGAACCGCAUGGUUAGAUAGUGAAAGAUGGCUUUGCUAUCACUUAUCGAUGGACCUGCGCCGUAUUAGCUAGUUGGUAAGGUAACGGCUUACCAAGGCAACGAUACGUAGCCGACCUGAGAGGGUGAUCGGCCACACUGGAACGGAGACACGGUCCAGACGCCUACGGGAGGCAGCAGUAGGGAAUCUUCCGCAAUGGGCGAAAGCCUGACGGAGCAACGCCGCGUGAGUGAUGAAGGUCUUCGGAGCGGAAAACUCUGUUAUUAGGGAAGAACAAACGUGUAAGUAACUGUGCACGUAUUGACGGUACCUAGUCAGAAAGCCACGGCUAACUACGUG
rnacentral:rRNA from 1 species